rnacentral:rRNA from 1 species
GGAGGAAGUCACGGCUAACUACGUGCCAGCAGCCGCGGUAAUACGUAGGUGACAAGCGUUGUUCGGAUUCAUUGGGCGUAAAGGGUCCGCAGGUGGUUUGAUAAGUCUGACGUGAAAUACCGGAGCUCAACUCCGGAACUGCGUUGGAGACUGUUGAACUGGAGUAUCGGAGAGGAAAUUGGAAUUCCAGGUGUAGCGGUGGAAUGCGUAGAUAUCUGGAAGAACAUCGACAGCGAAGGCAGAUUUCUGGACGAUAACUGACACUCAGGGACGAAAGCAUGGGGAGCAAACAGGAUUAGAUACCCUGGUAGUCCAUGCCCUAAACGGUGUAAACUUGAUGUAGGCGGAAUUACUCCCGUCUGUGUCGAAGCUAACGCGAUAAGUUUACCGCCUGGGAACUACGGCCGCAAGGCUAAAACUCAAAGGAAUUGACGGGGGCCCGCACAAGCGGUGGAGCAUGUGGCUUAAUUCGAGGCAACGCGAAGAACCUUACCCGGAUUUGACAUAUAUUGGAAUGACGUGGAAACACGUCAGCUCGCAAGAGUCGAUAUACAGGUGCUGCAUGGCUGUCGUCAGCUCGUGCCGUGAGGUGUUCGGUUAAGUCCGGCAACGAGCGCAACCCAUGUCAUCAGUUGCUACCAGGUAAAGCUGGGCACUCUGAUGAGACUGCCCGUGUUAAGCGGGAGGAAGGCGUGGAUGACGUCAAGUCCGUAUGGCCUUUAUAUCCGGGGCUGCACACGUGCUACAAUGGUCGGUACAGAAGGAAGCAAAGCCGCGAGGCAGAGCAGAUCCCCAAAACCGUGCCUUAGUUCAGAUUGCAGUCUGCAACUCGACUGCAUGAAGCCGGAAUCGCUAGUAAAGGCGUAUCAGCUACGACGCCUUGAAUACGUUCCCGGGCCUUGUACACACCGCCCGUCACAUCAUGGAAGCUGAUUGCACCCGAAGUCGCUGACUUGACCCGCAAGGGAGAGAGGCGCCUAAGGAGCGGUUGGUGACUGGGAUGAAGUCGUAACAAGGUAGCCGUUGGGGAACCAGCGGCUG